UACGUAGGGGGCAAGCGUUGUCCGGAUUUAUUGGGCGUAAAGAGCGUGUAGGCGGUUUGUUAGGUCCGUUGUGAAAACUCGAGGCUCAACCUCGAGACGCCGAUGGAAACCAUCAGACUAGAGUCCGGAAGAGGAGAGUGGAAUUCCUGGUGUAGCGGUGAAAUGCGCAGAUAUCAGGAAGAACACCCGUGGCUAAGGCGGCUCUCUAGUACGGUACUGACGCUGAGACGCGAAAGCGUGGGGAGCGAACAGG
rnacentral:rRNA from 1 species